AUGGCGUGGCGCGGCGCUGCGUCCCGCACCGUCCUCGCCGCGGUCCGCCGGCCGGCACCCUCGGCCGCGGUCGGCGGCCUCCGGGCCCCUCCUCCCUUCGCGGCCCCGCGCCGCCGGAUCCCUUCCCCCUUCGCCCCCUCCCACCCCACCUCCCCGCUCGGAGCCACACGGCCCCUGGCGGCCAUGAUGGGGUCGCCGCUGACGGCGGCGGUGGUGCUAGGACGGAUGACGGCGCACCCGUCGGCCAGCGCCCGGGCCUGCUGCGAGCUCUCCCAGGGUACCCUCUUUUUCCGCCGUACUUGUCAGGAUCACUAA
rnacentral:rRNA from 1 species